GACGGUACCUACAAAAGAAGCACCGGCUAACUAUGUGCCAGCAGCCGCGGUAAUACAUAGGGUGCAAGCGUUGUCCGGAAUUAUUGGGCGUAAAGAGCUCGUAGGUCGUUUGUUACGUCGGAUGUGAAAACCUGAGGCUCAACCUCAGGCCUGCAUUCGAUACGGGCAAACUAGAGUUUGGUAGGGGAGACUGGAAUUCCUGGUGUAGCGGUGGAAUGCGCAGAUAUCAGGAGGAACACCAAUGGCGAAGGCAGGUCUCUGGGCCAAUACUGACACUGAGGAGCGAAAGUCUGGGGAGCGAACAGGAUUAGAUACCCUGGUAGUCCAGACCGUAAACGGUGGGCACUAGUUGUGGGAACCUUCCACGGUUUCUGCGACGCACUAACGCAUUAAGUGCCCCGCCUGGGGAGUACGAUCGCAAGAUUAAAACUC
rnacentral:rRNA from 1 species